rnacentral:rRNA from 1 species
AACGUAGGACGCGAGCGUUAUCCGGAGUUACUGGGCGUAAAGCGCGGGCAGGCGGUCUGACAAGUCUGAUGUGAAAUCUCCGGGCUUAACCGGGAGAGGCCAUUGGAAACUGACAGGCUGGAGGGCAGUAGAGGUAGGCGGAAUUCCGGGUGGAGUGGUGAAAUGCGUAGAGAUCCGGAGGAACACCGAUGGCGAAGGCAGCCCCCUGGGCUAACACUGACGCUCAGGCACGAAAGCGUGGGGAGCAAACAGG